rnacentral:rRNA from 1 species
UACGUGAGCCCCGAGCGUUAUCCGGAAUUACUGGGCGUAAAGCGUGCGUAGGCGGUUUGUUAAGUCUGCUGUGAAAUCCCCGGGCUCAACCUGGGAAUGGCAGUGGAUACUGGCAAGCUAGAGUGUGUCAGAGGAUGGUGGAAUUCCCGGUGUAGCGGUGAAAUGCGUAGAGAUCGGGAGGAACAUCAGUGGCGAAGGCGGCCAUCUGGGACAACACUGACGCUGAGGCACGAAAGCGUGGGGAGCAAACAGG